rnacentral:rRNA from 1 species
AAACUUAAAGGAAUUGACGGGGGCCCGCACAAGCAGUGGAUUAUGUGGUUUAAUUCGAAGCAACGCGAAGAACCUUACCAGGGCUUGACAUCCAACUAACGAAGCAGAGAUGCAUUAGGUGCCCUUCGGGGAAAGUUGAGACAGGUGGUGCAUGGUUGUCGUCAGCUCGUGUCGUGAGAUGUUGGGUUAAGUCCCGCAACGAGCGCAACCCCUAUUGUUAGUUGCUACGCAAGAGCACUCUAGCGAGACUGCCGUUGACAAAACGGAGGAAGGUGGGGACGACGUCAAAUCAUCAUGCCCCUUAUGUCCUGGGCUACACACGUAAUACAAUGGCGUUUAACAGAGGGAUGGCAA